GUUUCAGGGCGAGGUGAAAUUCCUCACCGGCGGUAAUCAGCGAGAAGCGCGCAGGAUGCGCUUUGAAGCUGCGAGUCCGCGAGCCGAAAGGCAGAAUCGGUUAGAUCCCGAUACCGACGGUAUAGUCCGGAUGGAAGAAA
rnacentral:ncRNA from 1 species